rnacentral:lncRNA from 1 species
CACGAUCAACAUGCCCAAUAUUGAAGCCCCGGUCGGCGUGCAUCAGCGAGGCGUGCUGUCCUUGCGCUCUCGUCAUGCGAUGGCCGACUGUGAGGUCUCCAUGGCGUGGCUGAAGCAACGCACAGGCAGGCAUUGGUCUGCAGGUGGAGAAGGCCGAAGCAAUUCCUCGCGAUGGCGUCGAUCUUCGGCUCGUCGGCACUGGUUCGCUAUGUCGGAAAACACGCAACUGUUGCGCGUUGAGCUAGUGGCGGAGCAGGUAGUCGGGUGGUCAGCUGUGUAGAAAAGUGAGGGGCGCUGGCUAGGGCAUCUUCCUAGGGAGAAGAUGAAGUCAAAUUACAUUUUGGUCCCUGUAACUUUUUAAAAUUUUUGAAAGUUGUCUUUUUAGCUGAAAAUUUUAAUAAUUUUUUGGGUCUAUAAAUUAAAUGGCUAUUUAAUUUAAAAUAGUCA